rnacentral:rRNA from 1 species
CAAUUUGGACAAUGGGGGAAACCCUGAUCCAGCCAUCCCGCGUGUGCAAUGAAUGACNNNGGGUUNUCAAGCACUAUUGUCUGNGACNAAAUCGUACAGGCUAAUAUCCUUUUAGGAUGACGGUACAUGAAGGACAAGCACCGGCCAAAUAGGUGUCCGGAGCCGCGGUAAUAUGUACGGUGCAAGCGUUAAUAGGAAUUACUGGGAGUAAAGGGUGCGCAGGCGGUUUAUCAAGAAAGGUGUGAAAUCUCCGGGCUUAACCUGGGAAUGGCACUUUUAACUGAUAGGCUAGAGUAUGUCGGAGGGGAGUAGAAUUCCACGUGUAGCAGUGAAAUGCGUAGAGAUGUGGAGGAAUACCGAUGGCGAAGGCAGCCCCCUGGGAUAAUACUGACGCUCAUGCACGAAAGCGUGGGGAGCAAACA